rnacentral:lncRNA from 1 species
UCGUCUUUAAUUUUGCAUUUUUAAAUUGAUAUUUUUGUGUAAAUAAAAGAAAAUAAGAAAAUGAAAGUGAAGGUAUCUAUUAAAGUGGCAUGCCUUUCCUUUUAAAAAGGAAGAAAAAUGAAAUAGUGGCAUGUUUCUUUGCAUAGAAUUGUCAUGCUGUCAGAGGACCAUGUAACAUACGGAUGAGAAUAUUUGAUUUUGCCUAAAUCGCAUCGUGCUCAACUUGCCAAUCAUACAUAUUUGAUUUUUUAUAAUAAAAUUAAAUUUGUU